CCUACGGGUGGCUGCAGUGGGGAAUAUUGGACAAUGGGCGAAAGCCUGAUCCAGCCAUGCCGCGUGUGUGAAGAAGGCCUUCGGGUUGUAAAGCACUUUCAGUGGGGAAGAAAGCCUUGGGGCUAAUACCCUCGAGGAAGGACAUCACCCACAGAAGAAGCACCGGCUAACUCCGUGCCAGCAGUCGCGGUAAUACGGAGGGUGCGAGCGUUAAUCGGAAUUACUGGGCGUAAAGCGCGCGUAGGCGGUCUGAUAAGCCGGUUGUGAAAGCCCCGGGCUCAACCUGGGAACGGCAUCCGGAACUGUCAGGCUAGAGUGCAGGAGAGGAAGGUAGAAUUCCCGGUGUAGCGGUGAAAUGCGUAGAGAUCGGGAGGAAUACCAGUGGCGAAGGCGGCCUUCUGGACUGACACUGACGCUGAGGUGCGAAAGCGUGGGUAGCAAACAGGAUUAGAUACCCGGGUAGUC
rnacentral:rRNA from 1 species